UACGUAGGGGGCUAGCGUUGUCCGGAAUCAUUGGGCGUAAAGAGCGUGUAGGCGGCCCGGUAAGUCCGCUGUGAAAGUCGGGGGCUCAACCCUGGAAUGCCGGUGGAUACUGCCGGGCUAGAGUCCGGAAGAGGCGAGUGGAAUUCCUGGUGUAGCGGUGGAAUGCGCAGAUAUCAGGAGGAACACCUAUAGCGAAGGCAGCUCGCUGGGACGGUACUGACGCUGAGGUGCGAAAGCGUGGGGAGCGAACAGGAUUAGAUACCCCGGUAGU
rnacentral:rRNA from 1 species